CACGUAGGGUGCGAGCGUUGUCCGGAAUUACUGGGCGUAAAGCGCGUGUAGGCGGCAAUGCAAGUCGGGCGUGAAAUCCCACGGCUCAACCGUGGAAGUGCACUCGAAACUGCAUAGCUAGAGUCCUGGAGAGGAAGGUGGAAUGCUUGGUGUAGAGGUGAAAUUCGUAGAUAUCAAGCGGAACACCGGUGGCGAAGGCGGCCUUCUGGACAGUGACUGACGCUGAGACGCGAAAGCGUGGGGAGCAAACAGG
rnacentral:rRNA from 1 species